UGCCAGCCGCCGCGGUAAUACGGAGGGGGUUAGCGUUGUUCGGAAUUACUGGGCGUAAAGCGCACGUAGGCGGAUUAGUAAGUUAGAGGUGAAAUCCCGGAGCUUAACUCCGGAACUGCCUUUAAAACUGGUAAGCUAGAGGAUGUGAGAGGUGAGUGGAAUUCCGAGUGUAGAGGUGAAAUUCGUAGAUAUUCGGAAGAACACCAGUGGCGAAGGCGACUCACUGGCACAUUUCUGACGCUGAGGCGCGAAAGCGUGGGGAGCAAACAGGAUUAGAUA
rnacentral:rRNA from 1 species